ACGGGAGGCAGCAGUGGGGAAUAUUGGGCAAUGGGCGAAAGCCUGACCCAGCAACGCCGCGUGAAGGAAGAAGGUCUUCGGAUUGUAAACUUCUGUCCUAUGGGAAGAAACAAAUGACGGUACCAUAGGAGGAAGCUCCGGCUAACUACGUGCCAGCAGCCGCGGUAAUACGUAGGGAGCGAGCGUUGUCCGGAAUUACUGGGCGUAAAGGGUGCGUAGGCGGUUUGUUAAGUCAGAUGUGAAAUAUCCGGGCUCAACCUGGAGGGUGCAUUUGAAACUGGCAGACUUGAGUGCAGGAGAGGUAAAUGGAAUUCCUAGUGUAGCGGUGAAAUGCGCAGAUAUUAGGAGGAACACCGGUGGCGAAGGCGAUUUACUGGACUGUAACUGACGCUGAGGCACGAAAGCGUGGGGAGCAAACAGGAUUAGAUACCCUGGUA
rnacentral:rRNA from 1 species